AAUUUACCCGCCAACUGGAACUCGUAAACGACAACAGCUUCUAUAUAGCAAAUUCCAAUCGUUGGAGAGUCGGAUAAGGCUGGACUAACGGAUUGCCGUGAAAAAGACAACCUGAAGCCAAAUUCUGAUAGAUUGAAUUAAUAAAAGAAUAGGACGAGAUCCCUGGCCCGGAAGGUAAUGCAACGUAGUAGAAAAAUCCUCUUUUUAUUUUCGAACAGGAUCUACACCCUAAAAUUAUCGAGGAUUUCACAGAUUCUCCGAGGACAUUCGUGAAUCAAUCAAUUUAUACUUGUGUAUUUCAUCGAGGAAUUUGAAAUUAUUUUAGGUUUCCCGGAUUAAAAAUAACAGACAAGUAGAAAUUAUUUUUAAAAAUGAUAAGAAAUCCAUCGAUAAUGACAGGAAAUCUAACUCAAAGUUCAAUUUCAACAUUAGAAAAUCAUAAUUUUAAACCCUACAUCGAAAUUGAGGAACAACCAACUGCUGCUGUACGUUUUCGAUAUAAAAAUGGAGGCUCUCAUUAUCGCGAAAGCCUGCUUGGUAAAAACAGCACAAGGGACGAGAAAGCUUUUCC